GAUGAAGAACGUAGCGAAAUGCGAUAAGUAAUGUGAAUUGCAGAAUUCAGUGAAUCAUCGAAUCUUUGAACGCACAUUGCGCCCCCUGGUAUUCCGGGGGGCAUGCCUGUCCGAGCGUCAUUACAACCCUCAAGCUCAGCUUGGUGUUGGGCCCCGCCGCCCCGGCGGGCCCUAAAGUCAGUGGCGGUGCCGUCCGGCUCCGAGCGUAGUAAUUCUUCUCGCUCUGGAGGCCCGGUCGUGUGCUCGCCAGCAACCCCCAAUUUUUUUCAGGUUGACCUCGGAUCAGGUAGGGAUACCCGCUGAACUUAAGCGUAUCAAUAAGCGGAGGA
rnacentral:misc_RNA from 1 species